GCCUUCGUGGUGUAAUGGUCAACACACUCGGCGCGUAUUCGAGAGGUCCAAGGUUCGAGUCCCGGCGAGGACA
rnacentral:tRNA from 1 species